rnacentral:rRNA from 1 species
CGCGUAGGUGGUAGUGUAAGUCUGGGGUGGAAUCCCAGGGCUUAACCCUGGAACUGCCUUGGAAACCGCAUUACUUGAGUCAGUGAGGGGAGGGUAGAAUUCCUGGUGUAGCGGUGAAAUGCGUAGAUAUCAGGAGGAAGGCCUGUGGCGAAGGCGGCCCUCUGGCGCUGGACUGACACUGAGGCGCGAAAGCGUGGGGAGCAAACAGGAUUAGAUACCCUGGUAGUCCACGCCCUAAACGGUGGGCACUAGGUGUAGGGCUCGUAAGGGUUCUGUGCCGAAGGGAAACCAUUAAGUGCCCCGCCUGGGGAGUACGGCCGCAAGGUUGAA